rnacentral:rRNA from 1 species
AUUGAACGCUGGCGGCAGGCCUAACACAUGCAAGUCGAGCGGAUGAAGGGAGCUUGCUCCUGGAUUCAACGGCGGACGGGUGAGUAAUGCCUAGGAAUCUGCCUGGUAGUGGGGGAUAACGUCCGGAAACGGGCGCUAAUACAGCAUACGUCCUGAGGGAGAGAGUGGGGGAUCUUCGGACCUCACGCUAUCAGAUGAGCCUCGGUCGGAUUAGCUAGUUGGUGGGGUAAAGGCCUACCAAGGCGACGAUCCGUAACUGGUCUGAGAGGAUGAUCAGUCACACUGGAACUGAGACACGGUCCAGACUCCUACGGGAGGCAGCAGUGGGGAAUAUUGGACAAUGGGCGAAAGCCUGAUCCAGCCAUGCCGCGUGUGUGAAGAAGUUCUUCGGAUUGUAAAGCACUUUAAGUUGGGAGGAAGGGCAGGAAGUUAAUACCUUGCUGUUUUGACGUUACCAACAGAAUAAGCACCGGCUAACUUCGUG